UUGGCUCUUUUCCACUGAAAUAGCCCAGUAGAAAUGUCACCCCCAUAAUACACUUUAAUGCUCAGAUUUCAGUUUCUAAUGCUAUUUUUCUCCCAAAGGAGCCAAGGUUUCUUGAAGCAAUAGCUGAUUCUAUAUCAGUCCUGGCUGGGAGAUACAAGGAUAACUUCCCGCGAGCACAGAUCUGUUUCUUUUGAGUCUGGCAGGACUGCACUCCUUCGCCGGCUUCCGGAGCCACCAGGCGGGAACGACCUCAUUACGUCCACGGUGUCUGGCGCCACCCUAUGGCUGAGCAGAGGAUUAAAUGGGACAAUGUAUGUGAAGUCCUGAGUGCAGUGGCUGGUGUGCAGUCAAUGCUCAAUGAUUCUAAUUGGCUGAACUUCUUGCUGAUUGGCCCAUUGCUCUGCUUUUGGACAAAGCAAGGUGAUAUUUGGUCAAGCCAGAAGCCUGGGGGUGAGUCAGCUUUGACUCUGCUUGGCUUAUCUCCUGUUCUGGAGUCUGAAUAUGGGAGAAGGAGAAGAACCUGGGACCUACCCUGAGGAGUACCAGAGUGAAAGGAGGGAAGAAGGAUCUUCAAAGGAGGAUGAGAAGUUGGAGGAACACUAGGAAUGGGUCCUGACGAGAUAGGAGAGAGGAGUCAGAAGUGCUACCUGUCAUCAGAUCCAGAACCAAAUUGUUCCUGCUUUGACGUCAAGAGUAGUUUGGGCAAUUAGAAAAUAAAUACUGUUUUAAAAUUUAGUAACUCUUAACUGGGGCUUGAAGAGUAUUUGGGGUAAAGGGAUGCAUAAAUCAUUUCCUAGGGGAAGCUCCUAUCAACACUAACUACAGAAUAUGUACAAGAUACGAGUGACCAGAGAUUUCAACUAGAUCUGACCCAGAGCAGCUCCUCAAAGUCAAGGCAUGUGUCUUACCACCAACUCAUUUGCAGCACCUAGCUUAGUGCCUGGCAUUCAUUUGUUCUUUUCACGAAUCGUUGUUGCACCCUUAGGUCCUGGGCACACAGCAGGUAUUCAAUAUAUAUAUGAUAGAUGAAUCAAGCUAUUUAUAUAUACAUAUCAUGUUCUAAAAAUCAUGUACCUAAAAAAAUUCCAGAUUUGCCUGCCUGACAAUUUUAGCUCCCAGGACGCAUGGGAAGAAGAGACAGUUAGAAGUAAAAAUAAUUUCUACUUGCCAAUGAAGGAAUCCAGAUUUUGAGCAAGUCUUGAAUUUUCUGGUAAUGAAAAACUUAAUGAAAAAAAUUGUUGUUCGAUGGAUUCAUACGACCAAAAUUGUUAUCUGUGAGCAAUUAAAAAUUAAAUAUAGGAUAUUCCUUACUAAAUUUUUAAGGAUAAGGGCUACUCUGGAGUUAGGUUGGAUGUGUCCCUGAAGGAAGGUGAUGCCAGGAAUCUUUCAGGGCGCCACUCUGAAGCCACAGUGAUCCAUAUGGAUUCCUUUGUCCUACAGAAUGAGAUUUAACAUGGACCCCUAGAUCUUUGCAGUGGAAAAUAAACUCCCUUCCUCUGUGACCCAUUUUGGAAAAAAAGAGAAGAGGAACUAUGUAAUAAAAUUUUCUCUUUUGAAGAUUCUGGUAGCACUAAGGAUAGAAAUUUUGCAGGCAGAUGCUGGGGCUGGGUUCAGAACACUCUGAGUGCUUCUGUGUCCAUAGGCAGCCUUCCAGGUUGGCCACGGCUGGCUUUGUCGAAGUUGAUUAGGAUGCAAAGCAGUGAUGCAGACUUGUUCAUGGAGCUUGUCUCACCUUUGUCCCUUCAACUCUGCCUAGGCCCAUUCCUAAGUGUGAAAGUUCUGAUUGUUAUCUUGGUUACAGAAUCCCAUUCCUUGUCUGUUUUCUUUUGCCCUUAUCCUCACAUUUCUUUGAAUGUCCUUUCAUGGGACGCCUUGAUCUGCUCCCAAAGAAAUGCAAUUAUCAGAAAUCAACCUCUCUCACCCAUUUCUGCCCUAAGCAGCUUUUGCCCACUGGUGAAUUUCACAUUGUACUGAGAAAGUCAGCAACUAAUACUAAUAACAAUAAAAUAUGUUUGUAUUUUUAGAUGACUUUUUCCACUGAGGACUCCCUGGUGAGAGCCAGGCGCUGAGCAGAGUGAGGGUGUAUAUGAGCUGGAAAUAGAGAGCAAGAAAGAGACCUGGCCGGUUGAAGCCUUUUCUUGACAGCUAAUUUCCAUUUUUUGGUAUCAAGGGGUCUGUGCCAGUAAUUGGCAUGCAGAUUGUGUCUGAUGGGCCUGUUAUACAGAAUAAAGGAAUCUGCUAGUUAGAAUAAGCCAACCCCAGGCUGAUGGAUGGGGCAUAAGGAGGUCAUUGCAAAAGAGAAAUUGUGUGUGUGUGUCCGUGUGUGUGUGUGUGUGUGUGUGUGUGUGUGUUUCACAAGAAUUGCUACCCCCCUCCCUUUUCCCUCUUUAUCCGGCAAACUCUAAUCUUUCAUAUUGCAUUGAGACAAAUGUUAAACCAUUUCUCUCCCUCUCUCUGUUUUUUCCUUGAAGGGAUAUUUGAUGGAACCCACUCUGGGUUUAAUAAAGUGUGCGGGCAAAGGAGAAAUUAAAGCAGUGUCAUGGUUUGUUAGCAGCCCAGGAUCGUCCAGGAUGGGCCCCGGCUACAAAUUAUACUCUGGAAUUAAUUGGCAGUAGGUAGUUCUCCUGUCCAUCAUUCUUAAUCCAGCAGCUAUGGGAUAUCGACAGGAAAACGUGUGCUGUUAUCCAUUUCCCCUUUACUUUGUCUGAGUUAGUUAGUCGUUUUCUUGAUCCCCACUCCAUGUGUCGAUUAGAAAGGAGUUGUACUAUUUACCUGUACUGUUACUUCUUAAGUUAGCUAUGCAAUCCUGGGCAUCCUCCUAAGGACAGUGCU